rnacentral:lncRNA from 1 species
AGAAACUCCAUCGUACUUACUAUUAUAGUAAAAAUAUAACAAACAUUUUAAAAAAAUCUACAAUAGGUAUAAAAAAAUCUACAAACAUUUUUAAAAAAAUCUACAAUAGGUAUAAUCAUGAAAAUAUUUUUUAAUGUUAAAAAAUUAUAAUUUCUUAAUAAAUAAUAAAAUUAGUGAAAAUAAUGUUAAUUCAAUUAAAAAUAUAUGAAGAUGAAGUGAGAAUGUGUUUUUACUAAAAAAACAAUAAAAAAGAAAAUAUAGUUAAAAUAAUUAUCACAAAAUAUAUUUAAUACCAAAUAAAAAUUAAAAUGUCAAAUAUUAAACUAAAAUAAUGUAAUAUCCCGCGCGAAGCAGUGACAAACUCCUAGUUACACUUAUAUCUAACUACAUACAAAGCAUUAAACCUUUUAUAAAAAAAAACAUAUACACAAAGCAUUAACUAUUAUAUAUUUAUAUACAUAUAUCUAACUAUUACAAAGCUUUAAUUAUUUUAAAGCUUCUCGUUUCUAGCUCUCAAUGUUAU